UGAGCAUGCCUGUCGGGACCC
rnacentral:siRNA from 1 species